rnacentral:misc_RNA from 1 species
CCCGUCUUGGAUUGAAGCAAAGGCUCUUCUGCUGCUGAGCCGCCAGUGCCCACGACAAGUUUGAAGCGCAUGCGGACGCGGAGAUUCUCUAGGAAUUGGUACAAGGCGGAGGCAACUACACAAACGAGAAGAGUCAGAGCGUAACCCAGCCAUGUCGUGGUGCGCCACGAGUCCACCAGGAGAGUCACCUGGCGGCCCCAGUAAAAGGUCAUGUGCAUCAUCUUUGAUGACUCACUGAGUUGAAGAAUUAACAAGAAAAAAUGAACGAGUUUUUUAGAGAGAGAAAACUCAGCUGCCAAGUAAAGUAUCAAUGCAAUGACGGAGUUGAAAAGGCAUUGAAAU